CCUACGGGCGGCAGCAGUGAGGAAUAUUGGUCAAUGGGCGGAAGCCUGAACCAGCCAAGUCGCGUGAGGGAUUAAGGCCCUGCGGGUCGUAAACCUCUUUUGCCGGGGAGCAGUGGUCCGGACGUGUCCGGGCCGGGAGAGUACCCGGAGAAAAAGCAUCGGCUAACUCCGUGCCAGCAGCCGCGGUAAUACGGAGGAUGCGAGCGUUAUCCGGAUUUAUUGGGUUUAAAGGGAGCGCAGGCGGCACGGCAAGCCUGAUGUGAAAGCCCGCGGCCCAACCGCGGGACUGCAUUGGGAACUACCGGGCUGGAGGGCCGGAGAGGUAGGCGGAAUUCCUAGUGUAGCGGUGAAAUGCUUAGAUAUCACGAAGAACUCCGAUUGCGAAGGCAGCUCACUGGACUGCAACUGACACUGAGGCUCGAAAGUGUGGGUAUCAAACAGGAUUAGAUACCCGGGUAGUC
rnacentral:rRNA from 1 species